GAGAAGGAUCUUGAUCGUUGCGACCGCGAUAUUAAACGAUAAAUCUCGAUAAAAGGGAAUAAUGCCGUUUUGAGACGCGAUAAUAAUCGGUGAGAAACGCAAAGAUGCCGCAGCGAUCGCCGUUCGCGAUCCAGGAGCUGCUGGGGCUGAACGGUACCGGAAACGGAAGCGGUACCGAUCGCGGCUCGCCCCAAGGAUCACCGCCGGCCGGCGUCUCGGCCGUUUCUUACGCGCCCACGGCGCCUCAUCACAAGCUAUGGGACUACAUGCCCAGCCUGACCAAUCAUCUGGGCAAUCUGGGGAAUCUUGGGAAUCUGGGCAACCUCACGGCCUCGCGGAUGGCCUAUCUGAAUGCGCAGGCGGCCGUCGCCGCUGCCUUCCUGCCGCCGCCCCACCCCCACCCCGCGCACCACGUACCGCAUCAUCAGGUACAUCAACCGGGACAACUUCCGGCCUCACCGGCCGGUGUCAACGUGCAUCCGGGUGCACACGCGCAGCAUGUACUUCCGGGUACCGCAGUCACCGCGAACCAUCAUCAGCACAGUCCGAGUCAGCACACGCCACCCCAUGGUUUCUCUCAGUCGAAGAGUUCGUUCUCAAACACAAGCCCAGGUGUCGGGCACAAUAUAGAAUCCGGGAAAGACUUCACGGUCGACGGUCUCUCCGGUUUCAGCAAAAAGAAGAAGAAGAAGCGUCGUCGUUGCUCCAGGACGAUCUUCACGUCACAGCAGCUGGAGGAGCUGGAGGCAGCCUUCAAAGAAGCCCAUUAUCCGGACGUGUACGCUCGCGAGAUGCUCAGCCUUCGAACCGAUCUGCCCGAAGACAGGAUACAGGUCUGGUUUCAAAAUCGAAGAGCAAAAUGGCGCAAAACUGAGAAGUGUUGGGGCAGAAGUACCAUAAUGGCGGAAUACGGCCUGUACGGAGCUAUGGUGCGGCACUCGCUACCGCUUCCGGAGACCAUAUUGAAGAGUGCCAAGGAGAACGAGUCGGUGGCGCCAUGGUUGCUAGCUCAAUCAUCUAAGACGAGCAGCUUUAGUCAAGAUAUCGAAAAUAAUCAAGAACUGAUUGACUGUGGCCCCGCAGGGAUGCACCGGAAGUCAAUCGAAGCAGCGGAACACCUCAAGUCAGGCGGAGAGGACAGUGGAAACGAUCAUAAUGGAAGCGGAAGCAGCCCCCAUCAUAAUCAUCAUCAAGGUGGACCGACCAGUUCUGAGAGCGGACAGGAGAGUCAGGACGGCAUGGGGCCCUCUUCGUCGACAGGAAUCGUUCAGGACACGGAGCAGCUGAGGAACGAGAGCAUCGCCUGUUUAAGGGCGAAGGCUCAGCAGCAUCAGCUGCAAUUGAGCCUACAACCAACGGCUGCACCCACCAGCACCUCGUAUCCAACAGGCCCACAAUCGAGCACGCUUCACGCCCCCGUUUAAUCAUCGUUUCAUCGACAUUCCUUUCACACGAAUCAUCGAAACUAGGAGACGUUCGAUUAACUUAGAGAGAACACAAUCACGUUCGAAACUUUAACAGUUCACGUUCCCCGAUAAUUUCGCGAAUCAUCCACGCGAAUCUCCGAUAUUCGACUCGGGGGAUCACGAAAUAUAUAUAUAUAUAUACAUCAAUGUUCCCGGGAAAAUCAUGUUUCCCGCCCGAUCUUUGCCAAUAGAGAGAGAGAGAGAGAGAGAGAAAGAGAAAUUCUUCGUGCAUUUCCGACAUAUAAAUAUCAUCGAGUUAACUUCGAUUUCAACGAAUCAGGGUAAACGUCUAUCUAGAAGGUACCUAUUGCUAAGAGAAUAUGUACAGACGGAUAUACACGGAAUACCGUGCGUAUACGUGUAUUACACGACACAACGAAUACGAGUCGUUACGAUCAGGCUGAAUCAUCGAAGCCCGUGAUCGAUAACCGCGCCAUGGCCUAUUCCAAUUCUCGCGUUUCGCGCGUUUCACCUUCGAAACAGGAAACGAAAUAGGACGAUAGCGGACGAAGUGGACGUCGAUCACGAAGGGGGACUGAAGCAACGAGAAUUACUUCGAGCCGGAAUUACUUCCUCAUUCAACGAAAACGGUGGCCUAUGGACGGCCAAGUACAAUGACGAAUCAUCGAUCGCGGUGUGACAAUGCUCGCCUCCACCUCGCCUCGACACCGGCUCGUUCUCGCGAUUCGCUGCGUUCCUCGGAGGGGGAGAGGGGAGGCACGCCUCGAAAAUCUCGCGCGCCUCGCGACCGCGAUCAGAUGUGACGAACGCGAGGAUCGAGUGACGCGGGAAAUCGUUGGGGGCGCGAUAUUCCACUGGCCGACCGCUGGAACGAGUCGCGCCGGUGAAUCGACGGCGAGUGGUCUGGGCGAAUCGACUAAUUAGGAGUAAUAGCCGCUUUAAAUAGUGCGAGUAUAAAUAUAUACAUAUGUAUGGCGACGCGUGUAUGCUGCAACGUGGUUAUAGAGAGAGAGAGAGAGAGAGAGAAAGGGAGUGCCUGUGUAUGAAAGAGCGCGCGAGUAUGCUUGCGAGUUACCUUGAAACGAAGAUUUCGCCUUUAAGAGAUUACCGAACGAUUUGCAACGAACAACAAGAUAAAUAAAUUACCACGAGUGAGACGAGUUAUACAUAUAUGAAUUAAAAUAAUAUCAAGCAAGAUACAUCGAAGUUGAACCUCGAGCAGCAUGUCUUCUUAUCCGACGUUUGUUUUCGAUGGGAUAUAUAUAUAUAUGUAUAUCCUUCUUUCCAUUCAGGGACAAGCGUGUUGGAAAGCGUGUCAGAAAUUCCACAACCGCGGAUUAAUUGAUUAAUUAAAGUGUAUACGGUGAGAGUUAGUUAAUAUAAGGCGAGAAUGUGGUGAAGAGGUGGAAUAUUCACGGUGGAAUAUUCCGCGGGAGAGAGGGAGAGAGUGCAACGGAAAAUGUUUAUUAGCGAACACUUCCUAUACUCAAGUACUUAAGACGUAACUGUUGUCAAAUGUGCAAUAUAUAAGGUAUAAGUUCUAGAUUGGUAAGGCAUUAUACUUUAUUUACGGAUACACAACUACGUGAGGUGUGGUUUGUCUGGGUAAUGGCGCCUUGACGGACAGGCGGGGAAGGUCCACAGGCUGAUUAGAAUUGAUCGUAGGAUGCAAUUUACGCGUCAACGUGGAAAUUUCUAUUCGUGAAACUUUGAAAACGUGAUUGGGGAUAAAGAGGAUCGUAGCAAGAUAUUCGUUACGCUCGAUUCGUAUAUCGAAAAAACGUAUAUCGUUCUUCGAUAUGCUAAUCUUAGAGAUUCGUUUAAAAAGAAAAAGAAAAAAUG
rnacentral:misc_RNA from 1 species